rnacentral:misc_RNA from 1 species
UGUAAGUAUAUAUCUCAUUUAGAGAAUACCGACAAGCAAGGUUAUUCAGAACGCCAGGCUCAUGGAGAUAAGCUAACUUGGUCAUGUCAUCAACCCCAGAUGGUGGUGCUUCGGUAUCCUUUGGGUAUAUGCUAGAAAUAGAAGCAACUGUCGUCUUCCCAUUAGUUGUGGCUACUGUGGCAUUUGAGCCUUUAAUUUCUG